UACGGGGGAUGCAAGCGUUGUCCGGAAUCAUUGGGCGUAAAGAGUUCGUAGGUGGUUUGUUAAGUUAGGUGUUAAAUCCUGAGGCUCAACUUCAGUAUGGCACUUAAUACUGGCAGACUUGAACGCGGUAGAGGUAAAGGGAAUUCCUGGUGUAGCGGUGAAAUGCGUAGAUAUCAGGAGGAACAUCGGUGGCGUAAGCGCUUUACUGGGCCGUAAUUGACACUGAGGAACGAAAGCCAGGGUAGCAAAU
rnacentral:rRNA from 1 species